AGCAUAUCAAUAAGCGGAGGAAAAGAAACUAACAAGGAUUCCCCUAGUAACUGCGAGUGAAGCGGGAAAAGCUCAAAUUUAAAAUCUGGCGGUCUUUGGCUGUCCGAGUUGUAAUCUAGAGAAGUGUUAUCCGUGCUGGACCGUGUACAAGUCUCCUGGAAUGGAGCGUCAUAGAGGGUGAGAAUCCCGUCUUUGACACGGACUGCCAGGACUUUGUGAUGCGCUCUCAAAGAGUCGAGUUGUUUGGGAAUGCAGCUCAAAAUGGGUGGUAAAUUCCAUCUAAAGCUAAAUAUUGGCGAGAGACCGAUAGCGAACAAGUACCGUGAGGGAAAGAUGAAAAGAACUUUGGAAAGAGAGUUAAACAGUACGUGAAAUUGCUGAAAGGGAAACGCUUGAAGUCAGUCGCGUUGUCCAGGGAUCAACCUUGCUUUUGCUUGGUGCACUUUCUGGUUGACGGGUCAGCAUCAAUUUUGACUAUUGGAAAAAGAUUAGGGGAAUGUGGCAUCUUAGGAUGUGUUAUAGCCCUUGGUUGUAUACAAUGGUUGGGAUUGAGGAACUCAGCACGCCGCAAGGCCGGGUUUUAACCACGUACGUGCUUAGGAUGCUGGCAUAAUGGCUUUAAUCGACCCGUCUUGAAACACGGACCAAGGAGUCUAACAUGCCUGCGAGUGUUUGGGUGGAAAACUCGAGCGCGUAAUGAAAGUGAAAGUUGAGAUCCCUGUCGUGGGGAGCAUCGACGCCCGGACCAGACCUUUUGUGACGGUUCCGCGGUAGAGCAUGUAUGUUGGGACCCGAAAGAUGGUGAACUAUGCCUGAAUAGGGUGAAGCCAGAGGAAACUCUGGUGGAGGCUCGUAGCGAUUCUGACGUGCAAAUCGAUCGUCAAAUUUGGGUAUAGGGGCGAAAGACUAAUCGAACCAUCUAGUAGCUG
rnacentral:rRNA from 1 species